rnacentral:rRNA from 1 species
UGGGGAAUUUUGGACAAUGGGGGCAACCCUGAUCCAGCCAUCCCGCGUGUGCGAUGAAGGCCUUCGGGUUGUAAAGCACUUUUGGCAGGGAAGAAAAGGCGCAGGUUAAUACCCUGUGCUGCUGACGGUACCUGCAGAAUAAGCACCGGCUAACUACGUGCCAGCAGCCGCGGUAAUACGUAGGGUGCAAGCGUUAAUCGGAAUUACUGGGCGUAAAGCGUGCGUAGGCGGUUUGGCAAGAAAGAUGUGAAAUCCCAGGGCUCAACCCUGGAACUGCCUUUGAUACUGGGUGUCUUGAGUACGAGAGAGGUGAGUGGAAUUCCGAGUGUAGAGGUGAAAUUCGUAGAUAUUCGGAAGAACACCAGUGGCGAAGGCGGCUCACUGGCUCGUAACUGACGCUGAGGUGCGAAAGCGUGGGGAGCAAACA